AUUGAACGCUGGCGGCAGGCCUAACACAUGCAAGUCGAGCGGAUGAGGGAAGCUUGCUUCCCGAUUUAGCGGCGGGCGGGUGAGUAAUGCCUAGGAAUCUGCCUAUUAGUGGGGGAUAACGUUCCGAAAGGAACGCUAAUACCGCAUACGUCCUACGGGAGAAAGUGGGGGAUCUUCGGACCUCACGCUAAUAGAUGAGCCUAGGUCGGAUUAGCUAGUUGGUGAGGUAACGGCUCACCAAGGCGACGAUCCGUAGCUGGUCUGAGAGGAUGAUCAGCCACACUGGAACUGAGACACGGUCCAGACUCCUACGGGAGGCAGCAGUGGGGAAUAUUGGACAAUGGGCGAAAGCCUGAUCCAGCCAUGCCGCGUGUGUGAAGAAGGUCUUCGGAUUGUAAAGCACUUUAAGUUGGGAGGAAGGGUUGUAAGCCAAUAUCUUGCAGCUUUGACGUUACCAACAGAAUAAGCACCGGCUAACUCUGUGCCAGCAGCCGCCGUAAUAC
rnacentral:rRNA from 1 species